GUGCCAGCCGCCGCGGUAAUACGAAGGGGGCUAGCGUUGUUCGGAAUUACUGGGCGUAAAGCGCGUGUAGGCGGGUCUUUAAGUCAGGGGUGAAAUGCCAAGGCUCAACCUUGGAACUGCCUUUGAUACUGGAGACCUUGAGUCCGGGAGAGGUGAGUGGAAUUGCGAGUGUAGAGGUGAAAUUCGUAGAUAUUCGCAAGAACACCAGUGGCGAAGGCGGCUCACUGGCCCGGAACUGACGCUGAGACGCGAAAGCGUGGGGAGCAAACAGGAUUAGAUACCCUGGUAGUCC
rnacentral:rRNA from 1 species